AAAAAGGGUGGGCCUUUGUUAAGGCUGGACUGCGUGCAGUCGCAGGUGAAUCGCGAUCAAGAGAUUUGCCCUACAUAAUUUCUCACUGCUGGUAUGUGUCGGCCUCACGGGCUAACAUUACCGG
rfam:Saprolegnia diclina VS20 unplaced genomic scaffold supercont1.101, whole genome shotgun sequence.